rnacentral:rRNA from 1 species
AUUGAACGCUGGCGGCAGGCCUAACACAUGCAAGUCGAGCGGAUGAAGGGAGCUUGCUCCUGGAUUCAGCGGCGGACGGGUGAGUAAUUCCUAGGAAUCUGCCUGGUAGUGGGGGAUAACGUCCGGAAACGGGCGCUAAUACCGCAUACGUCCUGAGGGAGAAAGUGGGGGAUCUUCGGACCUCACGCUAUCAGAUGAGCCUAGGUCGGAUUAGCUAGUUGGUGGGGUAAAGGCCUACCAAGGCGACGAUCCGUAACUGGGCUGAGAGGAUGAUCAGUCACACUGGAACUGAGACACGGUCCAGACUCCUACGGGAGGCAGCAGUGGGGAAUAUUGGACAAUGGGCGAAAGCCUGAUCCAGCCAUGCCGCGUGUGUGAAGAAGGUCUUCGGAUUGUAAAGCACUUUAAGUUGGGAAGAAGGGCAGUAAGUUAAUACCUUGCUGUUUUGACGUUACCAACAGAAUAAGCACCGGCUAACUUCGUG